CGAGUCUGCCUUGAAGAUCGGAGUGCUUGCACUCUGUGAAACAAGAUACAGGCUAGCGGCGGACGGGUGAGUAACACGUGGGUAACCUGCCCAAGAGAUCGGGAUAACACCUGGAAACAGAUGCUAAUACCGGAUAACGACAGAUGAUGCCUAUCAACUGUUUAAAAGAUGGUUCUGCUAUCACUCUUGGAUGGACCUGCGGUGCAUUAGCUAGUUGGUAGGGUAACGGCCUACCAAGGCGAUGAUGCAUAGCCGAGUUGAGAGACUGAUCGGCCACAUUGGGACUGAGACACGGCCCAAACUCCUACGGGAGGCAGCAGUAGGGAAUCUUUCACAAUGGACGCAAGUCUGAUGGAGCAACGCCGCGUGAGUGAAGAAGGGUUUCGGCUCGUAAAGCUCUGUUGUUGGUGAA
rnacentral:rRNA from 1 species